UACGUAGGGGCCAAGCGUUGUCCGGAUUUAUUGGGCGUAAAGAGCUCGUAGGUGGUUCGGCAAGUCAGUUGUGAAAUCUCCGCGCUCAACGCGGAGGGGUCAGCUGAAACUGCUGUGACUUGAGUCUGGUAGGGGAGUGUGGAAUUCCCGGUGUAGCGGUGAAAUGCGCAGAUAUCGGGAGGAACACCAGUGGCGAAGGCGGCACUCUGGGCCAGUACUGACACUGAGGAGCAAAAGCGUGGGGAGCGAACAGG
rnacentral:rRNA from 1 species